GAUGAAGAACGUAGCGAAAUGCGAUACGUAAUGUGAAUUGCAGAAUUCAGUGAAUCAUCGAGUCUUUGAACGCACAUUGCGCCCCCUGGUAUUCCGGGGGGCAUGCCUGUCCGAGCGUCAUUGCUGCCCUCAAGCACGGCUUGUGUGUUGGGCCUCCGUCCUCCUCCCGGGGGACGGGCCCGAAAGGCAGCGGCGGCACCGCGUCCGGUCCUCGAGCGUAUGGGGCUUCGUCACCCGCUCUUGUAGGCCCGGCCGGCGCUUGCCGACACAUCAAUCUUUUUUCCAGGUUGACCUCGGAUCAGGUAGGGAUACCCGCUGAACUUAAGCAUAUCAAUAAGCGGGAGGA
rnacentral:misc_RNA from 1 species